rnacentral:rRNA from 1 species
UCCGUAGGUGGCAAUCGUUGUCCGGAAUUAUUGGGCGUAAAGCGCGCGCAGGCGGUUAUGUAAGUCUGAUGUUAAAGCCCGGGGCUCAACCUCGGUUCGCAUUGGAAACUGCGUAACUUGAGUGCAGAAGAGGAAAGUGGUAUUCCACGUGUAGCGGUGAAAUGCGUAGAGAUGUGGAGGAACACCAGUGGCGAAGGCGACUUUCUGGUCUGUAACUGACGCUGAGGCGCGAAAGCGUGGGGAGCAAACAGG